rnacentral:rRNA from 1 species
CCAAUAGCGUAUAUUAAAGUUGUUGCAGUUAAAAAGCUCGUAGUUGAAUAUCGGGAUCAUCAGGUUGGUCGUGACUCUGGUAUGUACUUUCCUCGAUGGUUCCUCCUUCUUGAAGAACCGUAAUGCCAUUCAUUUGGUGUUGCGGGGAAUCAGGACUGUUACUUUGAAAAAAUUAGAGUGUUUAAAGCAGGCAAUCGCUUGAAUACAUUAGCAUGGAAUAAUGAAAUAGGACGUUCGAUCCUAUUUUGUUGGUUUCUAGGAUUGACGUAAUGAUUAAUAGGGAUAGUUGGGGGCAUUAGUAUUCAAUUGUCAGAGGUGAAAUUCUUGGAUUUAUUGAAGACUAACUACUGCGAAAGCAUUUGCCAAGGAUGUUUUCAUUAACCAAGAACGAAAGUUAGGGGAUCGAAGACGAUCAGAUACCGUCGUAGUCUUAACCAUAAACUAUGCCGACUAGGGAUCGGAUGAUGUUAAUUUUUUAAUGACUCAUUCGGCGCCUUACG